UACGUAGGGGGCUAGCGUUGUCCGGAAUCAUUGGGCGUAAAGCGCGUGUAGGCGGCCUUGUAAGUCCGUUCUGAAAGUCCGGGGCUCAACCCCGGGAGGCGGAUGGAUACUGCAAGGCUCGAGUCCGGAAGAGGCGAGUGGAAUUCCUGGUGUAGCGGUGAAAUGCGCAGAUAUCAGGAAGAACACCUAUGGCGAAGGCAGCACUCUGGGACGGUACUGACGCUGAGACGCGAAAGCGUGGGGAGCGAACAGG
rnacentral:rRNA from 1 species